GUUUGAAAGACCGGUUCCCAUAUGAUGACUGAAGUUAAGCAACAUCAAGCCUGGUCAGUACUUAAAUGGGUGACCACUUUGGAAUACCAAGUGCUGUAA